rnacentral:rRNA from 1 species
GAUAGAUAUUAAUUUAAAUAUUUAAUCUAAGAAUAUAAGGGUAGAGCUUUAUCAUUCAAUAAUAAGUGAAAUAUAAGUUAAUAAGUAUUUAUUUUGAUAAUUAGGUUUUUUAGUGGCCAUAUUUUUAAAGUGUUUUAACUAAUAUAAUUGAAUAAUUUAUUUAUUAGAUUUUAUUAAAUUAAUAAUAUGUUUUUUAAAAUGGAUAAAUAUUAGAAAUAAUGAAAAUAUUAGUAGAAUUAAAUAUAUGAGAAAAAAGAAAAGUAUUAAAAGUAAAAUAUGAAAUAGUUAAGAAAAAAAUAGAGGAACUCGGCAAAUAAGGUUCUUGCCUGUUUAACAAAAACAUGUCUCUAUGAAGUUAUAUGAAGUCUGACCUGCCCAUUGAAAUUUAUUAAAAGGCCGCGGUAUAUUAACUGUGCAAAGGUAGCAUAAUUAGUAGUUUUUUAAUUGAAGGCUUGUAUGAAAGGUUGGACAAGGGAUAAGCUGUCUUUAUUUUUAUUUUUGAAUUUGUCUUUUAAGUGAAAAGACUUAAAUAAGUUUAAGGGACGAUAAGACCCUAUAAAUCUUUAUAUUAGUUUAAUUUUAUUUUAAAUUUUAAUGUUUAAAAGAGUAAAGUUAAUAUAGUAUUGUAUUGGGGUGAUAGGAAUAAUUAGUAAACUGUUCGAAGGUAUAAACAAAAAUAUUUGAUAUAUAAUUAUUAGUAGAUCCUUAGUGGAGAUUACAAGUUUAAGUUACUUUAGGGAUAACAGCGUUAUUUUUUUUGAGAGUUCUAAUCGAAAAAGAAGUUUGCGACCUCGAUGUUGAAUUAAAAUUUCUUUGUGGUGUAGUAGUUACAAGAGAGAGUCUGUUCGACUUUUAAAAUUUU